GACGAACGCUGGCGGCGUGCUUAACACAUGCAAGUCGAACGGCGAUCCAUCAGCUUGCUGGUGGUGAUCAGUGGCGAACGGGUGAGUAACACGUGAGUAACCUGCCCCUGACUCUGGAAUAACACCGGGAAACCGGGGCUAAUACCGGAACCGACACCGAUCCGCAUGGGUAUGGUGUGGAAAGUUUCUUCGGUUGGGGAUGGGCUCGCGGCCUAUCAGCUUGUUGGUGAGGUAGUGGCUCACCAAGGCGACGACGGGUAGCCGGCCUGAGAGGGCGACCGGCCACAAUGGGACUGCGACACGGCGCAGACGCCUACGGGAGGCAGCAGUGGGGAAUAUUGCACAAUGGGCGGAAGCCUGAUGCAGCGGCGCCGGGGGAGGGAUGACGGCCUCCGAGUGGUAAACCUCUUUCAGCUCUGAAGAAGCGAAAGUGACGGUAGGAGCAGAAGAAGCACCGGCUAACUACGUGCCAGCCGCCGCAGUAAAAC
rnacentral:rRNA from 1 species